GAUGAAGAACGCAGCGAAAUGCGAUAAGUAAUGUGAAUUGCAGAAUUCAGUGAACCAUCGAAUCUUUGAACGCACAUUGCGCCCGCCAGUAUUCUGGCGGGCAUGCCUGUCCGAGCGUCAUCUCAACCCUCGAGCCCCCCCGGGGGCUCGGCGUUGGGGACCGGCCCCGCCCCAGGGCGCGCCGCCCCCCAAAUCCAGUGGCGGUCCCGCCGCAGCCUCCCCUGCGCAGUAGCUUGCACACUCGCAACAGGAGCCCGGCGCGGUCCACUGCCGUAAAACCCCCCAACUUUUUAUAGUUGACCUCGAAUCAGGUAGGACUACCCGCUGAACUUAAGCAUAUCAAUAAGCGGAGGA
rnacentral:misc_RNA from 1 species